GGCGCCAUGGCUUAGUUGGUUAAAUUGUCUGUCUUGUAAACAGGACAUCCUGAGUUCGAAUCUCAGUGGUGCCU